AUUGAACGCUGGCGGCAGGCCUAACACAUGCAAGUCGAGCGGAGCGGCAGACGGGGGCGUAAUUCCUAGGAAUCUGCCUGGUAGUGGGGGAUAACGUCAGGAACCGGGCGCUAAUACCGCCUACUCUCAGAUGCACCUCGGUCGGAUUAGCUAGUUGGUGGGGUAAAGGCCUACCACGGCGACGAUCCGUAACUGGUCUGAGCGUAUGAUCAGUCACACUGGAACUGAGACACGGUCCAGACUCCUACGGGAGGCAGCAGUGGGGAAUAUUGGACAAUGGGCGAAAGCCUGAUCCAGCCAUGCCGCGUGUGUGAAGAAGGUCUUCGGAUUGUAAAGCACUUUAAGUUGGGAGGCGUUACCAACAGAAUAAGCACCGGCUAACUGCGUGCCAGCAGCCGCGGUAAUAC
rnacentral:rRNA from 1 species